GUGCCAGCAGCCGCGGUAAUACGUAGGUGACAAGCGUUGUCCGGAUUUACUGGGUGUAAAGGGCGCGUAGGCGGGAUAGCAAGUCAGCCGUGAAAUGCCGAGGCUUAACCUCGGAGCUGCGGUUGAAACUGUUAUUCUUGAGUAUCGGAGAGGAAAGCGGAAUUCCUAGUGUAGCGGUGAAAUGCGUAGAUAUUAGGAGGAACACCAGUGGCGAAGGCGGCUUUCUGGACGACAACUGACGCUGAGGCGCGAAAGUGUGGGGAGCAAACAGGAUUAGAUACCCUGGUAGUCCACACCGUAAACGAUGGAUACUAGGUGUAGGAGGUAUCGACCCCUUCUGUGCCGCAGUUAACACAAUAAGUAUCCCACCUGGGGAGUACGACCGCAAGGUUGAAACUCAAAGGAAUUGACGGGGGCCCGCACAAGCAGUGGAGUAUGUGGUUUAAUUCGAAGCAACGCGAAGAACCUUACCUGGGCUUGACAUCCCGACGACCGCUCUGGAGACAGAGCUUUUCUUCGGAACGUCGGUGACAGGUGGUGCAUGGUUGUCGUCAGCUCGUGUCGUGAGAUGUUGGGUUAAGUCCCGCAACGAGCGCAACCCCUAUUGUCAGUUGCCAUCAUUCAGUUGGGCACUCUGGCGAGACUGCCGGUGACAAAUCGGAGGAAGGUGGGGACGACGUCAAAUCAUCAUGCCCCUUAUGCCCAGGGCUACACACGUACUACAAUGGCCGAUAACAAAGUGCAGCGAAACCGUGAGGUGGAGCGAAUCACAAAACUCGGUCUCAGUUCAGAUUGCAGGCUGCAACUCGCCUGCAUGAAGUUGGAAUUGCUAGUAAUCGCGAAUCAGAAUGUCGCGGUGAAUACGUUCCCGGGCCUUGUACACACCGCCCGU
rnacentral:rRNA from 1 species